rnacentral:rRNA from 1 species
AUGAGUUCUUCGUACCAUCCGCAGACGGAUGGGCAGACGGAGCAGGUGAACCAAUGCCUAGAGACAUAUCUGCGAUGUGCGGUUCACGCAUGCCCAGCCAACUGGGCGAAAUGGUUAGCGCUCAGGGAAUUCUGGUAUAAUACCUCAUUUCACUCAUCACUGGGCAGAGCCCCAUUUGAAGUCAUAUAUGGGCACCUGCCUCGCUAG